CGUGUAUCCUCGCUACUCCGCUUUGCUCCUAGCCCAAGUAAGUCGCUCACUCAUCCCUCAGCCCACGCACGCGCCGCCAUACUCCGCUCUUCCGUCUCCAGACCUGGCGACCCGCCGCACCGUUGGCCGCCGACCGUCGGCGCCAGCCACCGCCGCCUGCGAGGCUGUGCCUCCACCCCACGCCGCGUGGUCUCCCUCCCUCGACCCUCGACUCCUUCGUCUCGCCGGGCGUCGGCCCCUGCUUGGGCGCUGGCUGGGCGCACCGCUCGUCCGGUCCCGCCGCCCGUCGGGGCCCCGCGGCAUCACGCGGUCGCGCCCCUCCACUGCUGCACGCUAGCCUGCAGCCGCCUCCCGCCUGGCCGCGGGCCACCCCAACGUGUCCGCGCUCGUGUUUGGUAGUUGGUACUGCUGGACUACCCUAGUUUUAAUUCCUGGGUCCGCCGCUGGGUAGAGAGCAGCGCGCCACAUCGUCGCCUGUGUCUCUCGCAGCCAGGGGCGGGAGGGGAGCAGGAGCCUGGGGGCUGCAGCGGAGCGCCGGAGCAGGUCCCACCGUGGGACGUGCGGCAGCUCUAAGGAGAAUACUGGAGCCGCUACCACCACGACCACCUCGCCUUCGUGCCAAUCCGUGACGCCGUCGAGCCCUUCGCCUACUGCCUCUCUGACCUCUUCAUCGACUUUUAAGGGGCUCGGCUAACAGGAGCAUUUGAUGUAAUCUGGAAGCUGCGACGUAUUAUCUCUCAGCUGGUUCUCUCCAUCUAAUUAUCAAGUAAUAUUUCUCCAUGAAGUGUAGUUUAUGCACAGCUCAUUCCUGCUUCUGCUGUUUCUGUAAAUGUAAGGAGGGGUCGGCUUCCCUCGUCUAUGCGCCGGGCAGUCCAAUGGUUCCUGCGGCGAGCCCUUGCAAUCAGGAGCUACCCCCCAGUGUUGCGUCUUUCCUCUCAGGCUUGUUGCCUGAACAGCUCGGAUAAUGAGGAGCCCAUUCGGAGUUCUGCUUAUGUUGAUUAUAGAAGCCAGUGUCUGCUUCCCUCGAUCACGCUAGCAGUGCGGACUUCAAACUGGGAUGCUGCCAGAAAUAUAAGCUUCUGGGAGUGUGUGACGUUGUACGGGCUAUCUCAAUCAAUUGGUCUGUUUGCAUUGCUUGUGCAGUUGUUCUUGCCAAGGAGAAUCAGAGAAAUCCGGUGCUUGAUUCAGAGCAUUGUUGAUUAUUGUGGAAAUGCUGGACAGGAGUUGUUUGAGUUGGCUCCUAUGCUGGUCAGUAAAUUGGGUGGGUCAAUGACGCUGUUACAAGUUUAUGCUGCUGUCAUCCGGAUUUUUGUAGAGUUGUCGAUGUUUGAGGAUGCUCUUCUCACUUACAUUGAGGCCAAAAAGGUUGGUGUUGAGCUACGUCUGGGCAACUUCUUGCUGAAGUGUUUAGCCCAGGGGAAUCAGAUCAUGUAUGCCAGGAGUUUAUUUGCUGACAUGAAAAGUUCCGGUCCUUCACCAAAUGUUUACUCUUAUUCAGUUUUGAUGAGUAUGUAUACACACGGAGAGAGGUUAUGCUUAGAGGAAGCUUUUGAGCUUCUUCGUGAAAUGGAAAUGAAUGGUGUGAGACCGAAUGCUGCAACCUAUGGAACUUACCUCUAUGGGCUUUGCCGUUCCAGACAGGUAACAUCUGCAUGGGACUUUCUCCAAGGUCUUUGUCAGAGAGGGUGCCCUUGCAACACUUAUUGUUUUAAUGCCGUGAUUCAUGGUUUCUGUAGUGAGGGUCAGGUUCACAAAGCCGUAGAAGUGUUUAAUGGGAUGAAGAAAUGUGGAUUUCUACCGGAUGCCCACAGCUAUAGCAUAUUAAUUGACGGGUUUUGCAAACAAGGGGAACUAUUGAAAGGUUAUGACAUGCUUGAUGAAAUGGCAAGAAACGGAAUCAGUCCUAACCAUGUAAGUUAUAGUUCACUUUUGCAUGGUCUUUGCAAGACUGGAAAUGUUAAACUUGCACUUGGGAUUUUCAAGAGGCUUAAAGGCCAAGGUUUCAAGCAUGACCAGAUAAUGUACAGCAUCCUUUUCAAUGGCUGUUGCCAACAUUUAGAUCUAGAUAUCGUCAAUGAUCUUUGGGACGUCAUGAUUCAUCAUGAUUUUGUUCCAGAUGUUUAUGAUUAUACCAAUCUGAUCUAUGCAUUAUGUAGACAUAGAUACCUUAUAGAAGCAUUGGAAGCAUUUGAACUCAUGCUUGAGAAUGGGGUAACUCCCAACAUUGUGACAUGCACAAUCCUAGCUGAUAGCUUUAGCAAAGAAGGGCUGAUAGGUGAGGCCUUCCUAUUUCUUAAUAAAGUACAUCAGUCGCUGGGAAUUGCUCCCAACCUUUUCACAUACAAAGUUAUUAUCAAAGGCCUUUGCGAGAUCAACAAAUCGGACAACGUUUGGGAAUUUUUUGCAGACAUGAUAAAAAGGGGAUAUGUUCCUGAUGCUGUCUUCUACAGUAUUAUUAUUGAUGGUUUUGUGAAGGCUUUGGAGUUGCAGGAGGCAUUCAGGCUGUAUCAUAAAAUGUUGGAUGAAGGGAUAAAACCUACUAUUUUUACAUAUACUAGCCUCCUAAAUGGGCUGUGCCAUGAUGAUGGACUUCCUGGAUUUAGGAAAUUGAUGAGGGAUAUGAUUGGGGAGGAACUGAUACUUGACAAGAUUUUGUGCACAUCUAUUAUUGCAUGCUAUUGUCGACGUUCGAAUAUGAAGGCUGCCAUGGAAAUGUACAGAAAAAUGGAAAGCUCUGGUUUAUCACCAGAUGCUUUUGUAUAUACUUGUCUAAUUAGUGGUUUCAGUAAAGUUCGUGUGAUGGAUGGUGCACUCUUGAUGAUGGAAGAAAUGGAAAAAAGGAAUAUUAAACCUACUGUAGUAACCUAUACAGCACUCAUAGUUGGAUAUCUGAAAACAGAGGAUGAGAAACAAGCUAUUAAAACGUGCAUAAAUAUGCAUCAGGCAGGCAUUGUUCCAGAUGGCAAGCUGAGUUGUAUAUUGGGCCUUGGCAAUGGCAGGGAUGAUUCUGAUUAUUAUUCUCAGAAAGCAAAGGAUAUAACAUAGAUUUUCAAAUAGAGCUUUAUUAACUUAUCAAGGGGCUGCUGUGUGAUGGUGAUGAGCUUGCCUAGUGUGGAAAAAUGUUGGCUACACUCUUUUCCUCCACUUCCACACUGCUGUCGGAUGAACAAGGAACAGGAAUGAAGUAACCUGAAAGUGACAGUUUAAUCCAUGGACAACACCUGGAGGGGUGCGAUCAUUACAGCUUAGGCCUUUGAGAAGCAUCAAGCAUGGUUGUUACUCCAUUUUUCCGGCCUAUUGAUUUGGACUAAAAAGGGCGUACCCAGUGCCGUAGGCUUCCCGCACUGUGCGGGGUCUAGGGAAGGGUUGUUUUUAAGCCCCAAACCUUACCCACACAAAUGGUUGUUUUUAGGCCUAUUGAUUUGGACUGCAGAGCAAAUACCAACAGCAGUCUACGGUUGAGUUAUCUGCUUCCUAGACUGACCAUCAAUCAAUCUGGAAGGUACAGAAGCUCCCUCGACAUAUACCACUAAAGGUACAGGUUUCUGCUGGAGACUGCUGCAUGGUUUACUGCUAAUUCGGACAUUUUACAUAUGUGGCAUAUAGAGAUCCUGGGAGCUGCGUGACCUGUGGAACAUAAGGGGAUACAUCUACAAUGCUUUUGUUAGGAGUAAUUACGCCAAAUUGUUUUUGAAGGAGCUGUACACAUACUAAGGUGCAGAAUUUCCCCAUCUACAGCCAAGAUCUUGCUUGAAAGAUAUCCCGGAUGAUAAUUAUUGUUCGGUGCAGAUGUGAGCUGUGUUCCUUCAGAAUGUGGGCAAUCUGCACUGCCAGAAAUGAAAAUAAAGCAUGGCAUGAAGGAGUGUAAGCUGCUGUCAGAUGGGUUUGGGAGGCAGCUGCAGACUCUCUGAGGAUGGCAGCUAUGCCAAUCGAAAAUAAGAAGCAAGAAGUAGAAGUGCAGUGGGGACCACCAAAGAUAGUAGGGGGGUGAAAGUAAACACAGAUGGGACAUUUUCUUUCACCAGCUCAUACACAGGGGCGAAGAAUGUCAUUAUUUGAGAGUGAAGAAGAGGCUAACUCAUGCUCGCAUGAUAAUGCCCUGAUGUGUGAUGUGCUAAGGGCAGUGAUGCUCACUUGCAGGAAUGUAUUGCAAGGUGCAGAAUUAGGUGAAUCUGAAUACUGGUGAGGAAGUGGCAUGAACAAGAAAUAAAUAAAUCAGAAAUCAGCAUCAUCCUGGAAGAAAUUGAGAUAACCUGGUGUUUUUAUUAUUUCAAGAUUUACUUUGUGAACUCCUUCAAAUAACAUGGUGUGUUCUUGUGCUCAAUAGACAUCGUCAAGGUCCUCAGCUCUGUGUUUGAUAACCAUCUUUGUAUUCCCCCAUGUAAUCUGUUUAAUGCUAUACGAUAAAAGCUGAGCUGGGCCUGUUUCUAAAAGAGAGAAUAUUGAAGUCAAGCUUGUGCAUGAUCUUGCUUCGGGAAUAUAUAAUAUAUUGAUUAUGUGAUACACACAGAAAUUGGGAUGCUGAUUGUUCCGCCUGUUUCUUUGCCCUGUAUGAAACUCCAUUUUGGUGUUUAAAUAUGAACAGUGCAUUUUGAAGUGCGAAUUUUAAGACUCGCAUUCACAUUGUAGAUUAGGAAUACAAGUACCAAGGAUUACCGGUAUCUUGUAGAAAACCAAAAGUUUGAAUUAAGCUGACACUUGAGGCAUAUAGAUUUGCAGAACAUUUUGUCGGUUUCUUUGGAGAGUAGGAUGGAGCAUUGGACUGCAAAAAUGAAAGUAGAGAUAAGUCUUAAAACUAGUUGAGAAAUCAGUUGGUGUAGGGUUUAACCACGUGGCGUCAUAUCCUAUAAUAUAUUGAUGAAAGAUGGUCAUGAAGCAACCAUUGCAAGAAGUGGUCGGGAUCCAUGUGGUAUUGGGAUUGGCCAGCCAUGAACCAACAUAUUGAUCAUAGGAAUGACUCCUCAGACUGUUGGCAGAUGCAGUGCAGGCAU